rnacentral:lncRNA from 1 species
CAGGGAGGCCUCGAAGACCUGAAGGGGAGGAGGAAGGAGCCAGGCAGCCAUGCAGGGAACAGCUCCAGGCAGCAGGAAGAGCCCAUGCAAAGGCCCUGAGAAGACACAUGCUGCGUGUGUCCAAGGGUCAGAGAGUGGCCUGCGUGGCUGAUGCCAGGUGAGAGGGGGACCGCAGGGGCAGGGCAGGGCGCUGGGGGUGCAGAUCAUGUCUGCCCUGGGGCCAUCAGAAGCUUGUGGCUGUCACUGGAGGUAGCUGAGCCUGUGGGUUCUGAGCCUGCGGAUUCUGAGCCGGAGGCACUGGGGUGAGGCUUUGGGUUUCAAUGGCAGCAUCAGGAUGGUUUCAGGGGAUGAGGGCAGAGCGGGAGGCGGCAGGUGGCCUGGGUGGGGAUGGCCCAUGUAGCUGGGGUCUGGAUUUGGGCCAGGAUUGGAUGUGGGGUGUGGGGGUUUCAAGGGUGACCUGAAGCUUGGUGACCUGGGGGGACGGCUGAGAUGAGGCUGGAUUGAGACGUCUGUAUGGUGCCGAGUGUUGGCUGGUGGGGGGUGGAUUCUGAAGGCAAGGGCUUCUCCGGCCUCAGGGGAGUGGGUGCCUUGGCGAGAGCCCAAAGGUGGGGGACGUGGCUGACGCCGGGCAAAGCUUUGGGGGCACCGGGCUGGGGUGGUGGUGAGGACCUGUGGGCAGGUGUGUGUGCAGCCAGCCACAGCCUCCGCACAAGUGAGGGGAAGGGGUGGCCAGAAGCCCCUGCAACUUGGCCUGAGCGUCCUGGGCAGCUGGGGGGCCCCCCAGCAUCAGUGUGGGGGCAAACAAGGCCACAUCCGCCACCAGCUUCACCCCAGCUUCUACGGAAAAGAGGCGCAGGGUAGAGGCUCACCACGUGGCUCCGACCCUGUUCCCUUUUCACUUAACGCCAGCGGCCUCCUCUGGAAUCCAAGCCCCUUAGGGAGGCGUUAGGUGUGGAGGGCCUGCAGGGCCUGCAGGAGCUGUCAAGGGAGGACUCUGCUGCCUCCUCCAGGCCCGGGAGGACCUUUCUAGGGAGGCACACACCUGGAAUCCAGGUACUAUAUUUCGUGGAAUAUACGGUACCCGGGAUUUCGUGUGCUGCUGAGAAGGAAGGCGAUGCUGAUGUUAAUGAAACUGGAAUGCGGCCCGGCUGGCAGGAAACGGGGUGCCUGCCCAGGCCUCGGGAACCAUCGCUACCCCAGCCCCGCCCACCGGCCCCAGGCAGAGGCUCACGCGCUCCCGGCUUCGCUGCAUUUAUUGCAGGUGGGUGCACCUGGCGGGAGGGCAGGUCCGGGGCGAGG